AUUGAACGCUGGCGGCAGGCCUAACACAUGCAAGUCGAGCGAGCGGCGGACGGGUGAGUAAUGUCUGGGAACCUGCCUGAUGGAGGGGGAUAACUACUGGAAACGGUAGCUAAUACCGCAUACCAUCAGAUGUGCCCAGAUGGGAUUAGCUAGUAGGUGGGGUAACGGCUCACCUAGGCGACGAUCCCUAGCUGGUCUGAGAGGAUGACCAGCCCCACUGGAACUAGGACACGCUCCAGACUCCUGCGGGAGGCAGCAGUGGGGAAUAGUGCACAAUGGGCGCAGGCCUGCUGCAGCCAUGCCGCGUGUGGGAAGAAGGCGUUCGGGUUGUAAAGCACUUUCAGCGGGGAGGCGUUACCCACAGAAGAAGCACCGGCUAACUCCGUGCCAGCAGCCGCGGUAAUAC
rnacentral:rRNA from 1 species